CGCUCUAACUCUACUAGAAAAGAAGCAAAGGGCACAAAGGACAAUGAAUUUCAAAAAUACACAGUCUCUUAGGUUUAACUGACUUCACAGUUUCCAAAUGAGAACCGGUAACACAUAGAGCAGAACAAGAAAAGAAGAAAUAACGCUCUUACAUCAGACUUUAGUCCCCUAUUCAGGCAUUUUUAUUCUGAAACACUCAAGUGUGGCUUUUAAAGUUGAGAAGCGAGCAUUUGAAUUCACCACCAACCACCCACAGAUGAAUGAAAGUUUCCCACAUGCAUAUAAUGUGGUGGGACAAUAUCUAUCGUGUGCCAUACAGCAGUUUCAGCAACAAAAAGCUCCUCAGAAUACAUCUCUGAGGUGAGUAGUUCAGGACUGCUGGUGCAAGGAAAGUCAUAGACAUUACAGAGUCACAUUUGAGGACACAGUUCGUUUUUAUAUGAAAGGGCAUCAAGAUUGUUCCACACUGCAACAGUGUGAAUGGUUACGCCAUCAGUGUGGAAACAUCUAAGACGCAUUUUGUGUAAAAAUAGAACAAUGCAACUCAACACAGUUUAAAUCAUGAUCUGAGGACAGAAAAUGUAAGCGGACCUGAGUCUCCAAUCUGACCCCUCUGUCCAGAGUUUGUCAGGAAGCUGUUGAGACAGCUGGGCCGCAUUCAGGUCCCUCCUUAUUGUUUGAGAAUUCAGAAAGAAACAAAAAGAAAACACAGCCAACACAAAACACCCAAAACUCCAUAUGCACGCUGUCUCUGUGCGGGCAGGAAGAAAAGUGUGAGAUAACAGGAUAAGCCCUGGCUGCUUGCCAUGAUCAUACCGGCAGGAAAGCUCUUUUUGAAAAAGACAGAAACUGCAGUGAGCUAGUUCAGCUCGCUUACUGAAGUGGGUCAGAUUAAUUAAUGUAAAACAGAGAGGUUAUGCUUGGUAUCUUGGUAUCUUAGCUAAUUACUCUUUUCAAGAGUUUUUCAAGCUUGCUUCUUUUUUAUGCAAAAGUUUUAUCGAGAAGGGCGUUAAAAUGUUAUUCUAACUACAAGUCCAUCUCUUUCUUGUCAUGACCUCUUUUUGAUCCUUUCAAAUAAUGAUGUAAAUAAGCGGUGUUUUGUAAGUUUGCAUGGCUGUGAACUCUGCAUCUGAAAAACUGAACCAUGUCGUUUUAACUAAUCCCCCAGCUGUGUUUAAUACGUGAUACAGACAACCUCAUCACACACGUCAUAUAGGAUUUAUCUUUAGCAAGAAGUGUGGCGCAUUCAAAAAGUUUAUGAUUACCCCUCUUCCUGUUGACAAUGUGGCAAAAACAGUUGUUUCCGAUAGUGCCACUGAACAAUACGAAGGACAUUUUUAAUAUAACUCUUAGUUUAUUUGGAGAUUCCUCGCUAUUCUGUCAAUCGCAGAGAAAGAGAAAAAAAAACAAGACGAGUAAACACAUCAGUGGAAAGUCCAUUGAAAGUGGUGCACAAUCAACAAGGAUAACUGCAGCCUGGAGAGGAUUGUCAGGGAACAUUUAUCCUUGAAACUUCACAAAAGGUGGAUUUAGGGCUGGUGUCACUACAACAAGAAUCUGUUUGGUUUUGAUUGCAUUAGCACUUUGCCUUCACUGUAAAUCACCCCUGACAUGUCGAAGUGAAAAGGAGUAUGGUUUACAGUAUUCAUCUUUACACUCCUCCAGAAAUAGCUGAAUCAUUUCCAACAGCCUUGCAAAACAUUGCUUACGAACUGAAGCUAAAAAUUGAUGUCCAACUCAUAUGACACGCACUCCAGGUUGCUAUGUUCACCAAAACGUCCCCAUGGUACAUUAUCUCUGAUCUCACAUUUGUAACUUCUACUGCCAACAAAAGCUUCCAGUAACCUUUUAACACACAGUUGAUGUCCUUUUUCUGUUCUGCCUUUUAAGACAGUAUGGUUCUGUUUUUUUUUUCAGUGUUUCCAUCAGGGGACUUUUGAGGAAACCCAACGACAGCUUAAAGGACUGAAAGCCACGUUUCUUUGAUGGUUACUUUUAAAACUAACUUGUUAAAGUUGAACUAUCCAAAAAGUAACAGACAAGUUUUCCUCUUUGUCUCAAAAGUUAUUGUGUCGCUCAAACAUCUCACGCUAAAUCGGUCUGAAUGGGAGGUGUUGCUCGUGCAGAGUGAUAAACCUUUCACCCUACAUCACUGGUGGAACAAAUGAGUCAUUUCUUGCGAAUAUAGAUUCACUCUGUUCACUCAAAGGUCUGUUUGGUGACAUUUGUUUUUUUUUUUUUUUUACAUGAGCCAUGCUAAUGUUAGUACACGCCGCUGUCCCUCUGUGGGCAUGCUUUGUGUCACAGCUGCACACAGCCGGUCUCUGGAGACAUGCUGACUGCUGCCUCGAUGUCCCCGACAGCCCACAUCCUACCUCACUGUUUGUAAGUGUGAAAUUAUGCAACAUCAGAGAGGAAGGUCUGUGAACUUUGGCGCAGCGUGUUUAAACCCUUGAAAUGAUCUUGCCACUGUUCUCUACAUAAAAGAAAAGUUGCUAAAAAAUUGAACAAAUAAUGUUGUUGUCUUUGAUUGCCCUAUAAAUGCUUUGAGAGUGUGCACAUUCCCUCAGAUUUUUAAGGCUUAACCCAACAUGUUUGCAGUAAAAGGCAUCUAUCUUGAGAAGUAAUGGUCAGUAUCGCCGGCUUGCUCUUUUUGACACAGGGGAAGUGACACUAAAAUGUGUGACGAUAAGAAGAACAUGAAGUCCUGUUGUGGUAAGCAGCUGUGGUCAAUGAUAAAGAUCUUGGUUUGUCAUAUUGGGCAUUUUGUCUUCUUUCUCGAUAAAUCUUUUUCCAUUACUUGCUUAAGUUCAUUUUUUUGUUGUUUGUUUUUUUAUGUGCAAAAAGUACAUAAAUCAAUUCUUUCAAGGGAACUGUAGUAAAUAUAGAAAUAAUCACUCAUUAGUUUUUGUUAACCGCUUCCAAAUAAAGCCCAGCACAGCUACCAUUGUUACAUUGUCUCCAACAGACCCAC
rnacentral:lncRNA from 1 species